rnacentral:rRNA from 1 species
GGGUUGUGAGGUUAAGCGACUAAGCGUACACGGUGGAUGCCCUGGCAGUCAGAGGCGAUGAAGGACGUGCUAAUCUGCGAUAAGCGUCGGUAAGGUGAUAUGAACCGUUAUAACCGGCGAUUUCCGAAUGGGGAAACCCAGUGUGAUUCGUCACACUAUCAUUAACUGAAUCCAUAGGUUAAUGAGGCGAACCGGGGGAACUGAAACAUCUAAGUACCCCGAGGAAAAGAAAUCAACCGAGAUUCCCCCAGUAGCGGCGAGCGAACGGGGAGCAGCCCAGAGCCUGAAUCAGUGUGUGUGUUAGUGGAAGCGUCUGGAAAGGCGUGCGAUACAGGGUGACAGCCCCGUACACAAAAAUGCACAUGCUGUGAGCUCGAUGAGUAGGGCGGGACACGUGGUAUCCUGUCUGAAUAUGGGGGGACCAUCCUCCAAGGCUAAAUACUCCUGACUGACCGAUAGUGAACCAGUACCGUGAGGGAAAGGCGAAAAGAACCCCGGCGAGGGGAGUGAAAAAGAACCUGAAACCGUGUACGUACAAGCAGUGGGAGCACGCUUAGGCGUGUGACUGCGUACCUUUUGUAUAAUGGGUCAGCGACUUAUAUUCUGUAGCAAGGUUAACCGAAUAGGGGAGCCGAAGGGAAACCGAGUCUUAACUGGGCGUUAAGUUGCAGGGUAUAGACCCGAAACCCGGUGAUCUAGCCAUGGGCAGGUUGAAGGUUGGGUAACACUAACUGGAGGACCGAACCGACUAAUGUUGAAAAAUUAGCGGAUGACUUGUGGCUGGGGGUGAAAGGCCAAUCAAACCGGGAGAUAGCUGGUUCUCCCCGAAAGCUAUUUAGGUAGCGCCUCGUGAAUUCAUCUCCGGGGGUAGAGCACUGUUUCGGCAAGGGGGUCAUCCCGACUUACCAACCCGAUGCAAACUGCGAAUACCGGAGAAUGUUAUCACGGGAGACACACGGCGGGUGCUAACGUCCGUCGUGAAGAGGGAAACAACCCAGACCGCCAGCUAAGGUCCCAAAGUCAUGGUUAAGUGGGAAACGAUGUGGGAAGGCCCAGACAGCCAGGAUGUUGGCUUAGAAGCAGCCAUCAUUUAAAGAAAGCGUAAUAGCUCACUGGUCGAGUCGGCCUGCGCGGAAGAUGUAACGGGGCUAAACCAUGCACCGAAGCUGCGGCAGCGACGCUGAUGCGUUGUUGGGUAGGGGAGCGUUCUGUAAGCCUGUGAAGGUGUACUGUGAGGUAUGCUGGAGGUAUCAGAAGUGCGAAUGCUGACAUAAGUAACGAUAAAGCGGGUGAAAAGCCCGCUCGCCGGAAGACCAAGGGUUCCUGUCCAACGUUAAUCGGGGCAGGGUGAGUCGACCCCUAAGGCGAGGCCGAAAGGCGUAGUCGAUGGGAAACAGGUUAAUAUUCCUGUACUUGGUGUUACUGCGAAGGGGGGACGGAGAAGGCUAUGUUGGCCGGGCGACGGUUGUCCCGGUUUAAGCGUGUAGGCUGGUUUUCCAGGCAAAUCCGGAAAAUCAAGGCUGAGGCGUGAUGACGAGGCACUACGGUGCUGAAGCAACA